rnacentral:lncRNA from 1 species
ACUCCAGGGCUGAUGUCAUGGCGCGAAGCCCGGCGGUGCUGCCCUCCUAGGCCCCGGGAAGGCCGGCCGGCAGGGGCGGGGGCAGGAGUCGCCGACUCUGGGGGUGCUCCGAGCUCGUGCUGCGGUCCCACUGUGCGCCCUGUCGCCGCCACCGCGGAAAACGUCUUGCACGUGCGAGGGGCAUUUCAGGAGUUUCCUGUCUGUCAGGCUGGAGUGAAGUGGCACGAUCUCGGCUCACUGCAACCUCUGUCUCCCGGGUUCAAGCAAUUCUCCUGCCUCAGCCUCCCAGGGACCUGGGAUUUCUGGAUUCACCCGGUAUCCAGGCUCUCCCAGAGCGGCACUUUAGCUGGCCAAGGCCUGGAGCAGAGUGUGUGCAGCGCUCCCACGGCCGCCUGCCCGGGCCUGCCCCCGACACAUGCUUAGUGGAAUUCUCCCGUGGCAGCCCAGAGUCUCCGGAACGAAGGUCUCCACAGCCAAAGCCACGCAAGAGGCUCUCCUGCUCUCAUUUCCAGACGCACCCUCAUCCUUGGCCUCUCCCUGCCUCAGUUCUCUUUGACUCCUCCGGUCCUUGUU